rnacentral:misc_RNA from 1 species
UUUCCGUAGGUGAACCUGCGGAAGGAUCAUUAUUGUAUAACCGAGGUGCGAGGGCUGUCGCUGACCCGAAAGGUCGUGCACGCCCGAGUGCCCUCGCACACGUCCAUCUCACCCCUAUGUGCACCACCGCGUGGGUCCCCCUUUGGCUUGUUCGGAGGGGGGCUUACGUUUUCACACAAACUUUGUAUGCAGUGUAGAAUGUAUUUUUUGUUUUUGCGAUCACGCAAUCAAUACAACUUUCAACAACGGAUCUCUUGGCUCUC